UAGGGGAUGUCCCUGGGGGCAGGGCCUGCCUCUUCUGCCCUCCUUUCAGGCAGGAGACCUCAGAGCACCUUUGCAGCCCCGCCAGCUCCUAGGCACCAACCAGCCAGGACUUCUUGCCCACUUGGGAACUAUUUCAACUGGCAAUCUGGGCCCCAGGCUUUGCCCACUUCAACACCAUUCAACCUCAGCUUGCUGGACCCCUUGCUUCUCUCACACAGUAAGGUGCUCCCUCUUCACCACCCCCACCCCCCAAAACAGAAGAGAAGCAGCCAAUCAAGAUGGCCAGACCAGGAUUACAAAUGAGGCAAUUUAUUAACCCAGCAUCAUUUGUUCUAAUGUUUCUUGUUGGCAGCUGCCACCUGUGGGAAAAGAUGGACAAGAUCAGUGUUGGGGCCUGUGUAGGGGUACUUGGUAAUAGCUACCGACCAGAGGCAGUGACCAAUCUGUGUGCCAGGCAUCCUGACUUGCAGUUUUUCAAAUGCAUUCAUCACAACCCAGGUAUUCUCCCAUUUUAUAGAAGCAUUAACCUGAACUCGAGGAAGUGGGGGGCAGGGUUGGAUUCUGUCUUCUGCCCAAUGCCCUGUGUGAGGGGAAAGCAAACUAUCUGUGUCAGGCUCUGGGCCACAAACCAGGCAGGCAGGAGCUUGUCUUCUCAUUCCCAGCCACCCCCAACUCCCACAGGACAUUCCUUCCACUCUUUCGUGACACCUGACUAAGUGACAAAACACUCCAAGGCUCCUAAGCGGCUAUAGUAGUUACAAAAAUAAGAAAACCAACACUGAGCAGACGUCAAGCCCAGUGGGAAUCCUGAAGCAGUGACCCACUGGGUCCUCACGGCCACCCUAUCCUUCUGAGAUGUCCACUCUAUGGACUGGGAGACUGUGGCUGCACAGGGAAAUAACGCUCCCGUAGGGCACCAAGCAGGUGUCCCCCAUCUGAAAGCUCAGCAAGUGUAAAUGAUGAAAACACUGCAACCAGAAUCAGAAAGGAUGCCGACAACAAGGGAAGCUGUGUCUCUGCUCUGCAGGACAGGAAGCAGGUCCAGGGGCUCAGGAUAUGCCCAUGGAACCAUCGAGGGACCCAGCUCCAGCCCACACCUAGGCCUUACCUGUCCGGCGAUUCUGUCCAGAUCUCUCUGUCCCUGAGGUGUCAGUUUGCGGCCCCUGUGGGGAGGAGGGUCACACAAGCUGGUGAGGGCAGGCCCGCAGCCCCCUCCCCAAGAAGGCACCUGGUGUGGGGCCACCACAUGAUUCCAGCUAAGGUAAGUCAUGCCAAGGACCCCAGUUGGCCACAUUUUAACAAGCUAGGGCAGGAGUGGGAGCCCCCUGGGAGCUA